UACGUAGGACACGAGCGUUAUCCGGAUUUACUGGGCGUAAAGAGCGUUGAGGCGGUUCUGUAAGUUGGACGUGAAAGCCCCUGGCCUAACUGGGGGAGGCCGUUCAAUACUGCAGGACUUGAGGGCAGCAGAGGGAGGUGGAAUUCCCGGUGUAGUGGUGAAAUGCGUAGAUAUCGGGAGGAACACCAGUGGCGAAGGCGGCCUCCUGGGCUGCACCUGACGCUGAAGGCGAAAGCUAGGGGAGCAAACA
rnacentral:rRNA from 1 species